GAAUGAUAAACAGACCAGCACGUGGAGAAGCCUACCCGUCUUGAACAGGACAUCUGGUUAACUGCGGUCGCAAGCAUUUAGAGGCGGUGAUAACAGAAAUUCAGUCCCAUUUAACGCUCCAAACUUUAUGACCGUAGUUUUCAAAUUAACUGGCAGAGUGGAGCGCCUCGACAGCUGGCAUGGCAGCCCAGUCCUCCCAUCACUUCUAACUACAGCUGUAAUAAGACUGUAGACUUGUGUGGGCCUCUGCAGUUUACAGUUCUUGGUGCUCCCCAUGGUGUCUGGACUGAACGACGUUUACUGACUAACUCUGCACAGGAUGCUUUCCGGAGGAGUGUUGUUUAGUCCUCACAAGGCUGGAGAAACAGGGUUACAGCCGCGGUUACUUCCAUCAGAACUUCUCCUGAGGAAGUUCUGAGAUGUCGUCACGGUCGAGAUUCGUCGGGCACUGGCCGUCUCCUAAGCACUGUGAAACAUCAACCUGUUUAAUUCCCAGGAUUUCUUAACAAGGAACCCAGGCCAGGAGACACCUUCAGAAACAAGACAAGUCAAAGGCCUCUGGGUGGAGAUAUCAACCACUUGGAAACAAACCACCAGGUACAUUUCUAUCAAGAAACUUACUACUGACAACCCACCUGGCAGAUCAGUUUAGGUAAACCCCAUGGACCACGUGCAAGAGCUCUGAAUUAGAAAUGGAUGUGCAGUGCCCAGCUCAGUGGACUGAGUGUCGUCCCAUGGACUGAGAGGUCCUGGUUCAAAUCCUGGUCAAGGCAGAUGCUCAGGGUUGUGGACCUGAACCCCAGGAGGGGGCGUGUAGGAAGCAGCCGAUCGAUGUUUCUCUCUCACAUUGAUGUUUCUAUUUCUCUCUCCCUUCCUAUCUCUCU